GUGAAAAUCAGUGAGAAGCGCCUCUAGCGGCUGUCAAUGAGACAGCCCCUAGAGGCUGGAUUAACCUUCUCUGAAACUGCUAUGUUUACAGCAGGCAGGGUUAAUCAUAGAGGGACCUGGCACCCAGACCACUUCAUUAAAGGACCAAUCUAGGCACCCAGACCACUUCAGAUUAAUGAAGUGGUCUGGGUGCCUGGUCCAGCUAGG